AACGCACGAGACCUGCGGACCUGCGGAGGGAUCAUUACCGAGUGCGGGCCCUCGCGGCCCAACCUCCCACCCUUGUCUCUAUACACCUGUUGCUUUGGCGGGCCCACCGGGGCCACCUGGUCGCCGGGGGACGUCCGUCCCCGGGCCCGUGCCCGCCGAAGCGCUCUGUGAACCCUGAUGAAGAUGGGCUGUCUGAGUACUAUGAAAAUUGUCAAAACUUUCAACAAUGGAUCUCUAGAU
rnacentral:misc_RNA from 1 species